CCUGAUCCUCUGAGCUGGACGUCUGAAGCGAUGAACAUCAAACAUUGGGCUCAGAUCUUGAGUUUGUGUCUCUCAGGUGUUGCUGUGUUUGUCUGCGCUGUUGUGAAUCAGAUUUUCUUCGUGCCAAAGACUGUUCUGAUAUUUAUGAGGAUAUAAAACCAGUGGCGUGUACACCAUCACCACAAUAGAUGGAACAGAUGGACCGGUGCAGGUCUACUGUGAGAUGGCCUCUGGUGGACAAUGGACUGUGAUUCUCAGAUGAAUGAAUGGUGAGGUGAAUUUCUUUAGGCCAUGGAACAGUUAUAAAUGGGGUUUUGGUAAUAAAGAAGGAGAAUACUGGCUGGAGUUUCUUCACCAGCUGACCAGCAGGUAUCAGUAUAGACUCAGAGUAGAUGUGGAGGACUUUAACCGGCAGAUGGUUUACGCUGUGUACAAGUUCUUCUCUGUGAGCUCUGAGGCUGAUGGGUACAGACUGCAUGUGAGUGGCUUUCUAAAUAGAGGAGCAGGUAACUCUUUGAGUUAUCACAAUUUAAUGUAGUUCUCCACCUUUGACAAAGACCAAGAUAAUUCAGAAGACAACUGUACUGUGAAAUAUAAUGGAGGGUUUUGGUACAACAAUUGUCAUUACACAAACCCCACCGGUCACUAUUUGUGGGCAAAGAUGUAAUCAUGACUACUGGAGUCAACUGGUACUACUGGAAGAACAGCUAUAAUUCUCUGAAGUCCAUCACCAUGAAGAUCACAUGUGUAAAGUAGAACAGGAGUUUCCAUCCUUUGUGCUUCACAAGCCUUAUGCGUUAGGCUCCACUGCAGCUUAUGCAUAUAUCUUCUUUGCAUACAUGUUGAUCUUUCUUAUAGGGGUCAUCGGAUGCUAAGUUCACUUUUACAUGUUGUUUGAACAUUAAUGUGUGUUGGCAGUGUAUG